CACAAGCGGUGGAGCAUGUGGUUUAAUUCGAUGAUACGCGAGGAACCUUACCUGGGCUCAAAUGUAUGUUGACGUAUUCUGAAAGGGAUACUUCUUCGGACAAUAUACAAGGUGCUGCAUGGUUGUCGUCAGCUCGUGCCGUGAGGUGUCGGGUUAAGUCCCAUAACGAGCGCAACCCCUACCUUUAGUUGCCAUCAGGUAAUGCUGGGGACUCUAAAGGAACUGCCUACGCAAGUAGUGAGGAAGGCGGGGAUGACGUCAAAUCAGCACGGCCCUUACGUCCAGGGCUACACACGUGCUACAAUGGCCGAUACAGAGGGCAGCUACCUGGUGACAGGAUGCAAAUCUCCAAAGUCGGUCUCAGUUCGGAUCGGAGUCUGCAACCCGACUCCGUGAAGUUGGAUUCGCUAGUAAUCGCGCAUCAGCCAUGGCGCGGUGAAUACGUUCCCGGGCCUU
rnacentral:rRNA from 1 species